rnacentral:tRNA from 1 species
GGCUGUAGCUCAGUGGUAGACUGCUUGCCUUGCAUGCGUGAGGCCUUGGGUUGGAGCCUCAGCACCA